GAGGGUAUAGCUCAGUAGUAGAGCACAUGCUUAGCAUGCAUGAGGUCCUGGGUUCAACCCCCAGGUCCUCC
rnacentral:tRNA from 1 species